CGAUAUAUUGCUUUCUCCAUGGUC
rnacentral:siRNA from 1 species